rnacentral:rRNA from 1 species
CACAUGCAAGUCGAACGGUAACAGGAUGUGCUUGCACAUCGCUGACGAGUGGCGGACGGGUGAGUAAUGCUUGGGAACUUGCCUUUGCGAGGGGGAUAACAGUUGGAAACGACUGCUAAUACCGCAUAAUGUCUUCGGACCAAACGGGGCUCCGGCUCCGGCGCAAAGAGAGGCCCAAGUGAGAUUAGCUAGUUGGUAAGGUAACGGCUUACCGAGGCGACGAUCUCUAGCUGUUCUGAGAGGAAGAUCAGCCACACUGGGACUGAGACACGGCCCAGACUCCUACGGGAGGCAGCAGUGGGGAAUAUUGCACAAUGGGGGAAACCCUGAUGCAGCCAUGCCGCGUGUGUGAAGAAGGCCUUCGGGUUGUAAAGCACUUUCAGUUGUGAGGAAAAGUUAGUAGUUAAUACCUGCUAGCCGUGACGNUUACAACAGAAGAAGCACCGGCUAACUCCGUGCCAGCAGCCGCGGUAAUACGGAGGGUGCGAGCGUUAAUCGGAAUUACUGGGCGUAAAGCGCACGCAGGCGGUUUGUUAAGCUAGAUGUGAAAGC